GAUGAACGCUGGCGGCGUGCCUAAUACAUGCAAGUCGAGCGAACGGACGAGAAGCUUGCUUCUCUGAUGUUAGCGGCGGACGGGUGAGUAACACGUGGAUAACCUACCUAUAAGACUGGGAUAACUUCGGGAAACCGGAGCUAAUACCGGAUGAUAUUUUGAACCGCAUGGUUCAAAAGUGAAAGACGGUCUUGCUGUCACUUAUAGAUGGAUCCGCGCUGCAUUAGCUAGUUGGUAAGGUAACGGCUUACCAAGGCAACGAUGCAUAGCCGACCUGAGAGGGUGAUCGGCCACACUGGAACUGAGACAAGGUUCAGACUCCUACGGGAGGCAGACGUAGGGAAUCUUCAGCAAUGGGCGAAAGCCUGACGGAGCAACGACGCGUGAGUGAUGAAGGUCUUCGGAUCGUAAAACUCUGUUAUUAGGGAAGAACAUAUGUGUAAGUAACUGUGCACAUCUUGACGGUACCUAAUCAGAACGCCACGGAUAAACACG
rnacentral:rRNA from 1 species